ensembl:lncRNA
UGGAGGGAAAUGGAACCCGGCAGUCCUGGUGUCCCUCCCCAGAGACUCAGCCCGGUGACUGGCCGUGGGGCUGCAGCCUCCCUGUAUUACCAGAACUUUAAUCUCACACCCAAUUCAAAACAACCUCAUCUUCCCAGACACCUCUCAGCCUGGGCCUCCCAGGGUUGGGACCCUGCCGUGGAGAGACUGGUCAUGGCCGGUGUUCUGGAUGCUUCCUCUUCUGUGUUGUGCUUCUGCACCUGCUGGCCUCCGCCUCGCCUCUGCUGGCUUCCUUAGGGCUGGAGCGGAGCAAGGCGGGAGAGGCACGGGUGAAGACCUGCCAGGGUUGGUGCCCUCUGGGGGUGGUGCAUCCUUCCCCUCCCGGGACACUUGGGAGGGUUUCCUGGAGACACCCCGUGGCAGCUCCCCGGCUGGUCCUGCUUGCCAAACCCCUCAGCCCCUGGCUUUCUGCUGUCCCCACCCCCCAACAGACUCUCGGUGGAGUCAUCUCACUCUAAGCUGGCUCUCCAGGUGGAGGCCCUUUCAAUAUAACUUCCUGCUGGAGAGGAGGACCCACAUCCGGCCGGGAGAAGCCCACGUCUUCGCCCCGCACUCAUGGCGAUGGACAGAGGGGAGCCAGGUGGCACUUUUUGGGUCACCCUUAGGACAGCCUUCUGAGGUGACCCGCCAUGUCUCUGCAGUGUGUGGACCUGACCACCCUCUGUUCAGCUUUGUGACGGCAGGAGACAGUGUUCAAAUGCGGCCGCCAAUGAUUCUUCCCUUCCAAGAGUGCACAUGCCGCUCUUCCCGCCAGAAGGCGGAGUUUCUCCCCCUCCCGUCACACUGGGGCUGGCCUGCUUUGGGCCAUAGAGUGUGGAGGAGGUGACGCCAUGCUGGUGCCGGGCCUGGCCCUUGAGAGUCCCUUUCGCCCCCCUGGAACCCUGUCGCUGAGCUGUGAGGAGGUCCUGGCUGUGCUGCUGGAGAAGGAGGCUGUGCAGAGAGGCCGCGGGGGAUGAGGUGCCACAUGGACAGAGGGGCCCCGAGGCGGGAGAGCUCACGUGUGCCAGCCGACAGGCAGCCCAUGUGACGGGGGUCUUCUCAGGCCUUGCGCCCAUCACCAACUGAACGCGGCUGUGUGCGUGGUUUCAGCUGACUGACGCGGAGCAGAAGGCCAGCCCAGUCAACUGGAGACUCACGAGAAAUAGUAAAUCACUGUGGCUUUAAGACACUAAGUUCUGGAGCGUUCGUUACACAGCGAUAGUUCACUGAAACAGGAGCCUUUGCUGAACCGAGACACCAGGAGCCAGGAAACCAGGAAACUACGUCUCCCGUCAGAGUCUCACUCGCUGUGAAAAUGGCGUAUCUCAGAUAGGGGCUAUUCCUGCAACCUGGAUCCUGGAUCCCGCGAGUGGAGGAGAGAUGCAGAUGCUGUAGUUGCCACAGGCGACUGUAAUGUGAGUGGUAAAUGUCUGGCUGUUGUGAGAUGCUAAAAUUGAGGGGCUGUUUGUUACUGCAGCAUAGCAAGUGAAGACUGCCUGCUACAAAGAGGGAGGUCUGGAGGCAGGGAGACACGCUGAGAUGAUGGUGGAUUGGUCUAAGGCAGAAGAAGGGGAAAUGGAAGGUGGAGUGGAGAGGGCGUGGUGACUUACAGGCUAUGGGGCUGGACCAAGAGGGAGUUGUCAAGAAACUCCAGGAACCGUCCCCUGAUUGUGAGAUGCUCAACAGAGGGCAGCAGGUCAUCAGAAAAGGGGUGAGUGAAGAAUGCCCUAGAUCAGCCAGAAGCGUCCGCACGGAGGGGGCAUCCGGUGGAGGGGUCUUGGAAGGUGGGGCUGCGUUAAAUGAUCUACUGCCAGAGGGGCUCAGCCCUGGGGGCCACUGACCUGGCUCAGGAUGAAGUGCUUGGGAAUUCAUUCAUUCAUCCAUCAUUUAUUCAUUCAACCAACCAGCAUUUAUGGAGUACUUACUGUGUGCUAGGCACUUUCCUAACAUUGGAAAUAUAGGACUGAACAAAACAAAGAUGUCACCCUCAGGGAGUUUAAAGUUUCGUGGAUGGAGAGAGGCAAUAAACAAGGAACUCACACUGGGAUCUCCCCUCAACUCCUGCCCACCCCCUGCUCCACCUCGGAGGCUCUUUCUCCACCAUUCUCUGCCGGGACCUCUGCUGGAACCUUCUUGGCACCACUCACAGCCUUACCUGGGGACUGUGUUCUGAGUUUGGCUGACGGGUUGAAACUCCUUCCCCACCCCCGCCCGGCCCAUCUCUGUGUGUCGGCCUCGGCAGUCCCAUCCUGUGUGGACGCUGGCCCUUCACAUGUGGAUGGAGGUGUCACUAAACAAAGGCCACCUUGAGGAGCAUCCAGAGACUGCCAGGCCUCUGCAAGCUGCACCUUCGGGCACCAGGGCCUGGUGUGUCCUCAAGAUCUGAAGAUUCUUCACGCUUCUGCUGACACCCUCCAGGAUGGAGGCCAUAAAACAGAGUCAGGGGACAUCAGAUUCCCUUCCCGGGGUGGUAAGUGCAGCAGAACAGAAACCCUCCUAGUGACGGAAAACGCAGUUUCAUUUUUAUUGUUGAAAAAUGUACGCAAAAUUUCCAUGAUACAAGACACUUGUUAUUAGCCAGUAACUUUUAUUAUGAGGCUUUUAUUUUCCUCGAAAAGUAAAAAUCAAUAAGAGUGUUUUCCAAGGUUGGGCGAAGACUGGUCAGACAGAGGCCAAGGGGAGAUUUGUCGCUGGAGUUGGUCUCUGGCUGAGCACAUUGAGGGGACUCCUGGGCUGCCUUCCUUGUUGUGGUCACCACAGACCCUGGGUACGUGUCCACUGAUGGGCUGCGGGGCCUUGGGCAAUUCCACUCCCUGCUCUGGGCCUCGGUUUCCUCUCCUGUAAGAAAAGGGCCUCCUGGAAACGGGCACAAUCAGACGUUGCUGGUGUCAGAAUUGCCACAGCCGCUUUCGAGGGCUACUCGGCGACGAUAUCCAGCAGAACGGCAGAGGCAGCCUAACCCGAGACCCAGCGGUUCCACGUCGAGGUUUCUACCCUGGGAAAGGCUGGCGUGUGCAAGGAUAUUCACUACAGCCUCAACUGCAGUGAGAAACAAAUGAAACAACCUAAAUUUCAGACUAUGAGGGGGGAGAGUGAGUCAAAUGUAGUAUGUUCGCAUAAUGAGAUUAAAAGCAAUGAAGAGGAAUGAGCCAGGUUCACGCAGCGAUGUGGACAAAGCUGAAGGUCAUCACUGAAUGAGCGAGUUGCAGAAAACCUUGAAGAAUGGUUUGCGGGAUAUUCCACCCCUUACGCGAGUCAGCACAUACACAGCGAUACUACAGGUCAUCACGGAUUCCCGCGUCUACACAAACGUUUAAGAAGUGAGCGGGAAGGGACACCUCCAAUUCGUGACAGCGGCUGUCUUGACAGGAGGAAAGGAAAUGGAACCGGGAAAGAGGGAAAAAGGG